rnacentral:rRNA from 1 species
AUUGAACGCUGGCGGCAGGCCUAACACAUGCAAGUCGAACGCGUGGCGGACGGGUGAGUAAUGUCUGGGAAACUGCCCGAGAGGGGGGGAUAACUACUGGAAACGGUAUCUCAUACCGCAUACCAUCGGAUGUGCCCCGAUGGGAUUGGCUAGUGGGUGGGGUAACGGCUCACCAAGGCGACGAUCCCUAGCUGGUCUGAGAGGAUGACCAGCCACACUGGAACUGAGACACGGUCCAGACUCCUACGGGAGGCAGCAGUGGGGAAUAUUGCACAAUGGGCGCAAGCCUGAUGCAGCCAUGCCGCGUGUAUGAAGAAGGCCUUCGGGUUGUAAAGUACUUUCAGCGAGGAGGCGUUACUCGCAGAAGAAGCACCGGCUAACUCCGUGCCAGCAGCCGCGGUAAUAC